GCGGCUUCCGGUCCCAUCGGCGGCUGCCGGGCCCUGGGCAGCAGGUUUCGGUGCUGCUGGGCAGGGACGGGCUCGGCGUCGUGUCAGCGGGAAGGACCUGCGCCCCCCCACCCCCCCCCAACCUGCAGGCCUCGGCUUCUCGGUUCCAGGCCCUCAGUCGAGGGGCCUGGGGCUUCUCCAGAAGGGGGUCCUCGGGCCUUCCUGCCAGGGACCCUGCAGCUCUUUGGUUGGGGAACCUCAGGAAUGGGGUCUCGGGCCCCUUGGCCGUGGGCUCCAGGACCCUCACAGAAGCACAGGGAGCUGAGAGAGAAAAGCAGGGCCGGAGGGCAGUUAAAGCGCUGAAAACAUUCCACUCAGGACCGUUGACGUAGGGCACAAGAGACCUCAGUCAUCCCCGAAUACCGUGUGGACUGAAAAAACAAUGCACCACCUAAAAGUUGAGAGUUAACGUUUUAUUCGGUGGACAAGACUGAGGACUUAAGCCCGGGACACAGCAUCUCAGAUAACUCAGGGACUGUUCCGAAGAGGCAGAUUGGUACAAGAAAUCUGACCCUCCCCACACCAAAAACAAAAACAAACAAAAAAAACCCUAAGUCUGAAAUAAGCUCAUCACUUUUAUAAAAGAGAUGUUGGAAGAACAAAGUGGAUGAUGUUUUGAUGACACUGGCUGUUUUUUGGUCUAGAUCUUCGAUAAAGACUAAGUUUGGAGGAAACGAGCCUCCUGACCACAGGUACCCAGGUAGCCAGAGCUUGGACCAAAAGGACCUCCUGGGUAGCACAGUCUUGGAAUGGGGAGAGGACGGAAAGCCAGCGUGCGGCUUUGAUAAACGUUUGCCCAAUUGGAUCGCAUUCAAGUUGGUUAAGCUGCACCUGGGGUUCUCAGAAAUCCACUCGCUCCCUUGCAACUUGCCAACUUCUCCAAUGUCUCGUCCUCCUCUGCCUCAUUCCUUCUUCUUCUGGAGGAGGAACCUGGCCACGGCGGGGGGGCGGGGGGUGCGUGGGGAGGGUGGCAGCUCCCGGUGCAACCUGUAGGGCUUUGCCUGGAAACGGUGGGACUCGAGCCACGCUCUCAGCUGGAGAGAAGGCAGCCCGAUCUGUCUGUCUGUCCUCCCUUUCCAGGCACCGUGGACUAGAAAGAUUAGUCAGGCUUGACCAACAUUUUCCAGCACCUUCCACGUGCCAGGAGCUCUCUUCGUGCCCCGGUGAUAUUAUCUUGUUGAACACUGAAGACCACACCCCCUGCGGUCCGCAUAUUGUCCCCAGAGAACCAGGCUCAGGAAGGCGUGUGGCUGGCCCCAGGUCAGCUGGACGGUGAUGAGCAGAGGUGGGAUUCCAGUUCGGCUGGGAAGAGGAGACCAGUGGAUAGGAAGCUAUGGCGCAGAGGGCUCAUGGCCUUGGGGUGGCACCCCUGGCAGGGGCACAGCACUGGCAGAGCAGGUGGUAGGGAAGCUCGAUGUCCCGUGAAGGAGCGGAAGCCACGGCUGGGGCUGGGUCCCGUCCUCCGUCCUCCGUGCAGCUCGUCAGAGCCCUCGGCCUCAGGGGGCUCUGCUCACCUGCAGCGGCACCCAGGACGUUAUCAGGAGGGCAGCAGGACCUGUUGGUCAGGCCGAGUGCUGGCGGGGCGGAGGCAGGAGCCCUCCGGAGACUGGGAACAAGGCCAGAGCCCAGGCGGACUGGGCACCUCCGGGCCUGGGGAAGCUGUCACCUAGCAGGGCUGGCAGAGGGCCGCACAGGAGAAGAGGCCUGAUUGACUGCAGACCCCAAGCCCAGAGGCACCCCCGCUGCUAUUCCGCCAGUUCCUGCCUUUCUGAGAUGGUCCAGGGUCCCCCUCCCGCCCUGCAGCAAGAGGGCCGGAGCCCCAGGCCGAGGGUGCUGUUUCCUCCCUCCUUCCCUCCCUCCCAUCCAAGCAGCCAGCGCACAUCAGUACAGGGAGGGAGCUCUGCUGGGCGUGGGGAUAUGGUGGUGACAUGAUCACAAAGGCCACCGUUUAGCAGGAGAGGGAACAAACAGGAAACGACAGGUCCGUAAUGUGUGCUCCAGGGGCUGAGCCUUGUGGGAGGAAUAACGGGGCCGCCGGCUUGGGUUGCAGGCCUGGGGAGUCCCUGAUGAAGGGAGAUGAAGGGACAUUUGGGCUGGGGCAGCGGGGAGGCGAGCAGGCCAUGGGGAUGGAGACGAGGAAUCAGCUGUGUGAGGGCCUGACGAUGCGGGGUGGGGACACAGGUGAGAUGGGAGGCUGCCAUUCGCUGAGCAGCUGUGUCCUGGGCCAGCAGGUGGGGUGGGGCAGGUGCAGGGCCCCUCACUGCACUGUCCCCUCCCCCGGCCCCCACCGGCGUCUCCUCAUCCAGGACACCUGCCCGCCCCGGCUGGAACAGGCCUGAGUCCUGGGGGAGGGCCGUGAAGACACAGACAAGCCUCUCUCCUCGGAUGACAGUAUCACUCGUCACUGACAGGAAGCAGCUCUGCGCUUCCCACAGACCCUGAGGGGUUGGGCUGUGUGUUUUUAGCCCAUCAUACAGAUUAUUAUUCCAUUAGCGGGGUCACACAGUGGGGGCCGCGGGACUUUCAUCUCCAAAAGGCCUCGCGAACAUUGAUCACUAAAAAUUAAUUAAAGCAUUCUAAUCCCCAAAUGCCUCUAGGCUGCAAUAUUCGCUUCCUGUAUCAGCUGAGAGAAACACAGCCCUGGUUACGGGAAGCUCCUGGUGGGGGCAUUGUUCACAAGGCAGUGGGGCAGACGUCAGACACGUGGGGAGAAGGGGUGAGCGGCCCUGUCCCCCCAGCCCCUGUCCCUCCGGCCGUGCUGUACUGGGGAUGGAGCCCAGUUCUGUGCUGAGGUCUCGUGCCCUCCUGCAAGGAAGCCGUUUGCCAACCUUGAGGGCUGUGUCCCUCUGCUUCUGCUACAUCCCCGGGGGGAUUUGAGAAGAGGCUGCGUGAUGCUGGACGACCCCCCGCCCCGGACCUCCAUUUCUCAUCAGUUACUUGGCCUCUGGGACCCCUUCCCAUCCUGAUUCCCCCAAAUCCGAGAGAAACUGCUGGCACCCUGCUGCCUUGCCAGGCUGACUCUCUGGUGUGAACUCCAGUUCAGCCAGAAGGUUGAACUAAUAAUGCAGGUUCUCCGGAUUCAUUAUGUUCCCCGGGUUUCUCUCCCCUUGGGAGCCCUUGAUGUCGGAUGAGCAGAUUUGGGGAAGCAGAGUGGCCGGGCGGCGGGCCGUCCUCGGGGUGGACCAGGGCAGGCUAAGUAGGUGUCAGAUGCAAAGACCCGGGGGCCUUCUGCCUGGCUGCCGUGUGCCUCGUGUGUGGACGUGUGUGUGCACGGUGUGUGUGGCCCCUACAACCCAAGAUUCAGAAAGCCAGGGCUGUCCAGGCCUUCAUGGCCUGAUGGGUGCUUGGGGAUGGGCCUGCCCGGCCACGCGCCCCAAACACACGGAGAAGGGGUUAGGCCUGGUCUCGGGACUGUUGGGAGGGUGCUGCUGAAGGACGGUUUUGCAGGCCCCAGGUUGCAGGGGCCGGUCCUGGUUAGUCCUGACUUAGCAGAGUGCCGGGGGUCAGGGAACUCUCAAGCCGGCCGCAGGGUGGUCCAGCACCUUGGUUGGUGGCAGGACUGGAGUGGACGUCUGGUGAGCAGGGGGCCGUGGCUGAGGGUCCCCGUCGGAGGCCAGGGUGGGGCGUGCUGGUCCAGGGCUCCCGGGAAGGGCUCUGAUGAUGGUGCUGCCACGCUGGCAGCGCUGACGGCUGUUUGUGCCAAGCUUGUGGGCGUGCGGGGUGGGAUUCUGCGGAGCAGCGAUCAGCAAGGGAGGCUCUGGAGUGACGCUGGGAAGGCCAUGCAGACCGGAGCCCAGUCAAGAACUGGGAACCGGAGCCUCGCGGAACGAGCCGCAGCGCUGCGUCCGGGGCGAGGGCCGCCUGGCCUCCCAUCCUGGCGCGGCCUCCGAGGCGCUGCGCACCCCCGGGUGAGUCGGUCCCUGUCUCUGAACGGCAGCGUCCUUGUAGGCAAGGCCUGAACUCUGAGGUGCUCUAGGAGGUAGAAAUCGUGCAUGUGAAACACUGGCCCAGGGCCCGCCUGGUCCGAGGAGGGACACAGCCCAUCAGGGUACUUAGUGGCUGAUCGUUGACCCGUUACGGAGCGAGGCUUCUCCAGGGCUGGGGAGCGCGAGUGCGCACGGCUGCCUUCCAGGAGCUUACCUCCUCGCUGAAGGGACAGACGUUCAACAAGCAGCUCCAAUCUAGUGCGCUCAGUGCUGUGAUGGGGAAGGAGGGGCUGUGGGUGCCCAGAACAGGGGGUGGGUUCUCAGGGGAAAGGUCCAUGAAGAGCUCUCCCAGCUUGGACCUAAUGAGUGAGUAGCUCUUCUCCAGGUGAAGCUGUGUAGAGAGUUCUGGAAGGAGGAGCCAGCGUGUGCAUAGGCCUAGGGACAACGAGUGUGCGCAGACCAUGAGCUGAUAAUGGUGGUGACUGUGACGGUGAUGGGGAUGACGGUGAUGAUGAGGGUGACGAUGAUGGUGAUGAUAGAGGUGAUAGUGAUGGUGGUGGUGGAGAUGACGAUGAUGUUUAUGGUGAUGAUGGAGGUAAUGGUGGCAGUGAUGACGAUGGUGAUGCCUGUGAUGACGGCAGUGAUGAUGAGACAGCAGUAGCAGCAGCCUUCUCCACCCCGGUCAGGGCUUCAGUUCAGCUGAGGGACCAGAACAAGAGCGCUGGCUCGUUAGGGAUUGGCCGACUUUUCCUGUGCUCCUUUGCUCUCCGAUCCCUCCGCCUUUUCCGUGGCCCCGUGCAGACUACACCCCCUGGGUUCCUCCUGCCUGUCUUUAGACGGGGCUUUGGUCUAAGCCACGUCCCAUCCCGGGGAUGAGGACCACCCAGGCUUCCAUGUCCCUCAGCUGUACCCCAAGUCCUCCACGGAUGGCCACUCCCAGUCUGGUCAGUUGAGGGGGGUGAGUCUCCACCUUGGAAGGGUAGGCCACCUCUCCCUGGUCCCCUCACCAGAGCAGCCCCUACAAUGAGGUGAUGGCGGGCAGCUGCUGGACCGCUGUUUCCAAGGCUGGCUGCAACCAGGGGCCUUAUCAGGCAGGACUGACCUCUCUGACUGUCCCCUGAACCCAUCCUCCUGGACCCAGCUACAUCUUCCAAUUUCUUCCUUAAGAGCAAGUAAUUGGGAUUUGAAAUUAAGACCAAUUUGGAGGUUCUAGAAAGCCUGUAGGGACCCCAUGUGGUCAUGGUGCAGUCUCUAUUGGAAAUGAACCAAUCUGUGAGCUUCUGUCCCUAAGUGGCCCCCAGCCCACAUGGGCACUGGCUGGGGAGCCCAUGCUCCCCUUCCACCUGUGACAGGGAGCUGGCUGAGAACACAGGACACAGGCCCUUCCCAAAGGUGUGGCCCCACGCUUUCUAGUCUCCUCCAGACCCUCCAAAGGCGUCCAUGCCCCGCCCUGGCCUCCUCCCUCACACCGCACCCCGCAUCAGGCACUCAGUGGGUACCAGGCGUGGGGCUACGCUCACCUUUUUACGGAUGACAGAACUGAGGCCCACGAGGCAGACUCUCCAACCUGAGCCCGAAUGCUUAGCCACGAGGCCACGGCCCAGCUCACUUCCGCCUCCCACCGUGUUCCAGCCACGUGAGCUCCCCCGCAGUCCUGCUCAUGUGUACUGGCACAACAUCCUGACACUAGCAAAACAAUCAUCCUUUCAUGUUCCCUUGAUGCCUCCCACCUCUGGGGCUGAGCCCUGAGCUGCCUGGAGGCCCCUGGGUGGGGAGGACAGACAGGUGAAGGAAAGGUCAGCCCAGGGUGCAGAGCCAGCUCACAGCGAGGGGAGCGGUUGGGACGGCCAGGCUCUGUGAGUGAGAACAGCCUCUCGGUUCCCUUGACUCCCGUUUAGCAUUUCAACGCCAGGGCUGGCAGUGAUGUCCUUGAGCCUGGCUGGGGAGCGAGGGCGCGAGAAUCCUGGAUGGGGUACGGUAAAGGGGAGUUCUGGUCCUGGUGACGGUGGAGAGGCAGGGAGGUGGGGAGGGGGUCGGGGGGAGUAGCCAGGACCUCUGGCGUCCAAGGGGCUUUGGGUGUGGGGACACAAGAGAACUUGGGGGCUUCCGCCCUGGUGCAGCGUGGGGAGACUGAAGGCCCCUCGGCUGUGCCCUGCCCACUUCUGACACAACAUAGGCAGGAAGAAGCCAGGAAGAUGAGCAGGACAGGGUCCUGGCUCCGCGCGCCCGUGUGGGUGUUCGGUACACUUGGAAGUCCCGGAGGCCGCAGAUCAGUAGGGAAGGGCCGUCAGGGAUGGAGAGGCCGCAGCCUGGGCGGACGUUGUGACCGGGGCAGACGGCCUUGAGAGAGGACGAUGCGGAGCCGUCCUCGUGCACGUGGCAGCAGCGUGGAUGCCCGGCCCUCCCCGCAGACGUCCCCGCAGGACCUGAUACGCUCACCAGCUUGGCAAGCAGCCCCCAGCUUUUAAUCUGUGGGAGAAGUGACCUUUUAUGUUUCAGAUCACAUGAAGUUAAUUUGCACUCCAAGUUCAAGAGAGCUCCUGAGAAGGUACAAAUGUGAUUUCUUAACAGCUGUUCCUGUAGGACUCAACAUGACAGAAAUGAUGAGAAGUGAGGAUUCAUUUUUAGAGAGAAAGAGAUGCUCUCUCCCCAGAGCCAGCCCUGGAUGGCGGCCAUCAGAUGAGAAGAGCUGCGGGAGCGUGGGGGGCCAACUGCUCACCCUGUACGAUGUUCCUGACCCACAGCUAUCCUGUUGCUGCUUGAAUACCACCAGUGAUGGAGAGCUCACCACCUCGAGGGCAGCCACAUCUAAUGCUGGUCGGGUUGGCUGUGGGAAAGUCUCUCCAGUGUCGGGUCAGAUCUGUUCGUCGAUUGUGCUCUGCCCUCUGAAGAUGUACAGAUCACCGCCCCCUCCUGUCUGGUGUCAUCCUCCCCUUCUGCUGACCACCUCCAGUUCCUCAACCGUGUGUCCUAAGCUGGUGUCCGGGUCCUCCCAUCCUGUCCCUGGGGGUGUUCUGAUCUGCCAGUGUCCCUAAAGUCAGGCACUCAGAACCAAGCAGAAGGUUCCUUUUUCUGACCAACCGGCCAAGAGUCCCAUGACUUUCCUGCUUCUGGACACCGCACCUCCAGCCGAGGUGCGCUGCUGGCCCACCUGGUUGACAUCCAGGGAGAAGCCACAUGUGACCGGUUCUGUGCCAAUUGCUGUGGGAGGUUGGGCAGGGGACGUGGCUGCAGGAGCGGUAGGUCUAGUCCAGGCACCGAGCUGACACUGAUGCGGGCUGUGGUUUUAGGGUGAGCCCAGCUGUCACGUCUUCCCUGCCAUCCCGCCCCAUACCCAUCUGGGCCCUGACGAUUGGACCAGGGCCGGUCACCUGACUUAAGCUAGACCAAUCGCAUCAGCAGUUGGGGUAGCAGAUCAGUCCCAGCAGGUGGCUGCGGGGCAGCUUUAUUCCCAUGGGGUCUGGGAAAUCUGAUGUCCAUUUGCAGAGAAAGAAGAGAGAUGGGGUGGGGGAAGCCAUGCGGAGAGAGGAGUAAAACGUGAAGCAAAUGCAGAGAGGUGGGGGUGGGCGCACACCCCCAGAGCCCCCCUGUGACACCCGCCCUCCCAGCCACGUAGACCCACAAGGUCCCACAGGGAGGGAGAGGGGGGUGCUGGGGGUCUGGCCCUGAGCCCUUCCUGGUGCCAGGAUUCUCCAACGUCCUUGGGACCCACCUCAACCUUGCGGAAAGAUCCAAGGCAACCCAAAGCCACCACCUCUCAGGGUCCCACCCUCCUUGCUGCCCAGGGUGACACAGGCCAACAGCCAAUGAGGGGCCGACAGCCCAUUGCCUGGGGCUCCUGGAGGCUGUGUCAUCUUGUAACUUUUGUAAUUUUUUCCCGCCACUCCUUGGGGAUGUUUACUGGCUACUGGACCUGUACCUGCCCAGGUGUGGAACCCGCCAGUUGGGGCCAGGGGAGCAUUGUCCAGGCUGAGGCGGCACGAUUCAAUGCUUGGCCAAGAGUGGUUAAGACCAGCGUGGGCUCGGCCUUUCC